GAUCAUGGCUCAGGAUGAACGCUAGCGGCAGGCUUAACACAUGCAAGUCGAGGGGCAGCAUAAUGGAUAGCAAUAUCUAUGGUGGCGACCGGCGCACGGGUGCGUAACGCGUAUGCAACCUACCUUUAACAGGGGGAGUAACACUGAGAAAUUGGUACUAAUACCCCACUAACAUCAUGAAAGGACAUCUUUUAUUGGUUGGUAAAAAUUAACCGUACUGGUUUAGGUAGAUGGGCGAUGCGUUGUUA
rnacentral:rRNA from 1 species